GAAAUAAAGAAUCAGAAAUAUAUUUUUGGGCAUAAAAAUCCUCCCAAACAGAUUAAACAAGCGACAACAAAACUAUGACCAAUAGAACGAAACGGAGUAAUCAAGUAUUACUGAGACACCCCAAAUAGAACAAUAAAAUAUCAGCUCAAACGAUCAAUAAGAUAGAGAAGCAACCAUCACCAAAACAAAGGAAAGUACGAUAUUAAGCAAAACAACAAAAUAAGGGAGAAAUAGACCUCAAACCGCUAGAACCAUGAACGGAACUCGAACCGGAAACCAAUAGACAGUACCUCGACGCACAAUGAAAUGGACUCCUUGGACAAUGAGCUCCGACGACCUCGAAGCUCGUCGGAAAACUCGAACUAAACUAGAAAGACAAAACAAACGGACUCCAUAAUAGUGACUCGCGAUUCGGAGUUGUUUCGAGCUAUUUCAAGUUGUUUCGAUGGAGGUUUCAGCAGUGGACCAAGGGCACUGAGAUUUACGGUUGGUGGCUAUGGAGAAUUUGGUUCAAGGCUCUGUGAUGUGAAGAAGAUGACUAGGGGUGAGUUGUUGAGCUCUCGUUCCCCAUCUCUCGUCUUUAUUUCUGUCCAUUUCCCCAGCCCCCGCUUUCCCUCGUUCCUCUCGUAUCUCUAUCGUGUAUCUCUGUAGGUGUGUGUGUUUAUCUCUGUAGGUGUGUGUGAAUACUUCUUUUUUGUUUUUUUAAUUUAUUAAAGAAAAAAAGAACUGAAAGGGGAGGCCUGUUAGCAAUCUUAAAGAUUUAGUGAUAGUGGCCGCUAUCUUGUGUAUGAGAGAAAAUCCAGAGGUAAAGGGGGUGGUGCGGCUGGUUUUAGAAGUUAGGUUUAACGUUUGCAAAAUUGGGGAUUUAGGCGAUAAAGAGAAGAAAUUUGGGUGAUUGAAUAAAGUAUUUGGACGGCUAAGAUUGAGGGUUGAUGGGGUGGGUCAGGGAAUUAAAAUAGAGGAAGUGGGCUGCUGAGGUUAAAAUAGUAUUGGGCUCAUAGAGGUUGGUCCGAUUUGGGCCAUCUCUUUGGACUUCUUGAAUUAAGCCAAGACAAAAGUUAGCCCCAAAAUUUAAUUUUCUUUCAAAAAAUAAUAAAUAACAAAACACUAAUAAAAUACAAAUGAACAUUAACUAUAACAAAACUCAUAUUGAAAUGAAAUUAUUUUUGUAUUUUUCUUUAAUUUUAAAUACUACAACAAAAAAAUUAAACUAAUAAAGUGAAAAUAAAAUAGAUUAAAAAUCGAUAAUAACUCAAGUAAAUAUUUAAAAUACAAAAACUAAAUGUGCGGGUCAGAAAUUACGUGCUUACAGCUGCCCCUCUUUUCUUGGAAACUCGAAGAGUUUUUGAGCAAAGAAUUAAGUAAGCAACGUAAUUGACUUCCGACCCGACACUUACUCAAAAGAAAUCAAAGAUUGACAAAAGAUUGUGAACGAGCCCUGGUAUCUAAGCUGCUUACAUAUUCUUGGCUAUAAAGGAAUCAGGCCACGUAUAGUUCGGAGGUAGAAAGAGUGACAGAGUAUACCGAGGUGGAGAGCCGAUUGAGGUGCCAUCGAGGUUCCAGUCCACGGUUCCUGCCAUUACAUCAUGAAUUGAAAGCAAAAAUUAAAGCAAAAUUAAAAGAAAAAUACAAGAUCAUAUCUACUUCUUGUCUUGAAUCUUCCUUGAAUCUCUACUUGAUCCUUCAACAUGAAAUUGAAAAUUUACCUUAUUCUUCAGGUGGCCAUCAUGCUGACUUGAAUUUGAAGAAAACUGGAAAUUGACCCUAUUCUUCAGGCGGGCACCAUGCUGCUUGCACUUGAAAUAAACUUGAACUUGCGGUAGACUUGAGCUUGCAAACCUUGUUCUUCAGGCGGCUUGUGCUACUUCUGGUUUGAAUUGAAAAACUGGAGGUUAACCCUAUUCUUCAUGAGGGAUCCUGCUUCCUCUGAUUUGAACUUGAAAAGUGAAAGUUGACCAUGUUCUUCAGGAAAGCUCCUGAUGCCUCUUAAACUUGAAAAUUGAAAGUUGACCAUGUUCUUCAGGUGGGCUCCUGAUGCCUUCCUGACUUGAAAUUGUAAACUGAAAGUUGACCCUGUUCUUCAGGUGGGAUCCUCCUGAUGCUUCUCUAACUUGAACUUGAAAACUGAACGUUGACCCUGUUCUUCAAGCGGGGUCUUGAUGCUUCUCUGAUUUGAACUUAAAAUCGAUUUCUGAAAUAUUGACCCUGUUCUCCAGGUGGGUGCCUGCAAUCAAAACAACACAACAAAUGAAAUUUUCUGCACCAGUUUGCACUAGGAAGAUUUGUGACUUGUUAGCAAAACUAUAAAUCACUUAUGUUAUUGAUGCAAUGAUGAGAGUAAAACUAAAGACUCGACUAGGAUGUGCGUCUCAUGCGCGUAAAACCAAGAAAAUUUGAUUAGCACAUGUAUCUGCUAAAAUAAAACCUGAAUGACCCAAACUAGGAAGUGUGUCUCCUAAGGAUGAACUCAAACGAACCAAACUAGGAAGUGCGUCUCCUAAAAGAAUAACCUGAAUGUAACGACCCGAACCGUUGUUUCCUGUAUUUUCGUCUCGUAUUCCCCGUUAAAUGCUUAUUCAUGUUUCAAUAUGUGUACUUGGUAAAUUUGAGUCAAUUCGAAUCGAGUUUGGUAUGAAAUGGGACAAUUAGUCUCUUUAAGGAAGAAUUAGUUUGGAAAAGUCAACCGGACAUUGACUUGUGAGUUAGAGGGAUCGGAAUUGAAUUCCGAUGAUUCGUUUAGUUUCGGAGGAUGAUUUAAGGCCUAGGAUCACAAUCGGAAUUAAUUUUGGAGGUCCGGUGAAGAAAUUAGCUCAUUUUGGCGAAGUUAGUAUUUUGGCAAUUUCCGGUUGAUAUGUAAAAAUUUUAUCCGACGGUCGGAAUGGAAUUCCGAGAAUUUCUAUAGCUUCGUUAUGCCAUUUUGGAUAUGUGUGCAAAAUUUCAAGUCAUUCGGACAUAUUUUGGUCGAGGUUUUGAUCGAAUGCUCGUUUUGGAAGUUUUAAAGGAACUAGACUUGAAUUCGAUGUAAUUCGAUAAUUUUGCUAUUAGUCGAGGUGUUUUGAUAAUUGGAACAAGUUUGAAUAAUAUUAUAAGAUGUAUUGGUAUUUUUGGUUGAGGUCCCGAGGACCUCGGGGUGAUUUUGGAUGGCUAAUGGGAACUUUUGAAGUUGGGAAAUUUGAUAAUAGACGAAAUUGUAAAUGAGUGUGCAUAAGACCUCACUUUAAACGACAAUAUCUCCAGUUAUAUAAGGUGUUAUGUGAGGAUAUACCUAUCAAAUUAAAGACCUUUGAGUUUAGUUUCCAACUCAACAAACCGUUUGUAAUUUGGAGUUGUAUACAGAAAGUUAUGAUCAUUUUACUGGGAAUGUGUCAGUAGCGUGGGAGCGCGUAGCCAGCGCUAAUUGAGUUUUCUUCUGCCUCACUAGCGCGGGAUUAGCGCGGACGCGCUAGUGUCAGUCCUCUAAAUACACCUAAGGACGGGAAAUGACGGACUUUGAGUCAUUUCUCAAGCCUAGGGCUUCCCCAACAUCCCCAAUUCGACCAAGGCACCCAAUUGCACUCCUAAGGUAAGAUUUUUGGAGUAUUUUGAGUUGAUUACUACUCCCAAACACUUAUAUUAACAUGGAUUGAUCUUAAAAGUCCUUAGAUUUUCAAGAAAUUCCUUCAAGAACUCAAAGGAAGGUUUUGCAAGAUUUCUUCCAAAAGGUAAUCCUACACCCUUAGACUCACAUAUAUGAAUAUAUUAUGGGAAUAUGAGUAUGAAUCAAGUAUUACAACUUAUUGUAUGGUGAUUGGAAGCCAUAAAUUCCUAAUUUAAAUACAUGAAUAUGGUAGGGAUUUAAAGGUGUUUGACUUGGUCCAUCCCAGUUGAUAUUUUUACCGCGUAAUUGAUAAAGAUUUAUUGUUUUUCACUAUGAUUGGGCUUAUAGCCAUAUUUGGGCUUCGUGCCAAUUAUCUGAAAUAUUUUGUGAAUUUACAUCACUAUUUUCCUCACGAAUUGAAAUAUUAUUUGAACUAAGUCCAAUUGAAUUAUAUUAUUUUGUGAACUCAGCUACAUUUAGACUCAACACGAGAUUUAAUGAUAUUUAUAAUGUUGUUGAGCUGAGCACUAUUGUUUUACUGAUGCCCAAGAGGCUUAUGAUUAUUUUCUGGACUGAUUGAGGCCGAGGGCCAUACGUGAGGAUAUGUUGAGUGAUGUGAGGAGGCUUUCAGGCCUCGAGUGUUAUAUGAGGAGGCUUUCAGGCCCCGUGUGUGAUGUGUGAAGGCUUUCAGGCCUAUUGAUAUUGCGCUUGGGCUGUAGGAGCCCCUCCGGAGUCUGUACACACCCCCAGUGAGCGCAGGGUACCCAGGUGAGUUGGGAGUGGGCCCGAGAGGCCGUUGCUUGUGUGUGUGAGUUAGGAGUGAGCCCGAGGGGCUGAUGUUGUGUGCUGGUGAGUUGGGAGUGAGCCUGAGGGGCUGAUACUAUACUAAGAUUUACAUAUUGAGCCCAAAGGGCAAGCCUUUGAUUUAUCCUUACUGUGGAAAUUAAUUGGCUUCACUGUUUUAAAAGAAGAAUUAUUUGAUACUCACGGUUUUACUGUAUAACUGAUUUUACUGCUUGGGAUAACGCUAUAUUGUGUCGCUAUGAGAUUUUAUGUUUUCAGUCGUUAUUUAUUUUUAUUACUCACUGGGUCGGAGUACUCACAUUACUCCCUGCACCAUGUGUGCAGAUACAGGCAGAGCAGAGUUUGCUCCUGAGCACAGAUUCUUUCCAGACCAGGCGGUGACUAGGAGUAACGAGGUAGUUGUUGACGUCCGCAGCCCCAUUUUCUCCCUUAUCUUUUUUAUUUAUGAUAAUUCCAGACUUUGUAAAAUAUUAGUAAACUCUGUAGUAUCUCAUGACUCGUGACACCCCAAUUUCGG
rnacentral:lncRNA from 1 species